UCCUACGGGGGGCAGCAGUAGGGAAUCUUCCACAAUGGACGAAAGUCUGAUGGAGCAACGCCGCGUGAGUGAAGAAGGGUUUCGGCUCGUAAAGCUCUGUUGUUGGAGAAGAACGUGCGUGAGAGUAACUGUUCACGCAGUGACGGUAUCCAACCAGAAAGUCACGGCUAACUACGUGCCAGCAGCCGCGGUAAUACGUAGGUGGCAAGCGUUAUCCGGAUUUAUUGGACGUAAAGCGAGCGCAGGCGGUUGCUUAGGGCUGCUGUGAAAGCCUUCGGCUUAACCGCAGAAGUGCAUCGGAAACC
rnacentral:rRNA from 1 species